AAGGCUUUAGCUUAAUUAAAGUGUCUGUUUUGCAUACAGAAGAUGUAGGUUAGUGUCCUGUGAGUCUUA
rnacentral:tRNA from 1 species